UACAGAGGGUGCGAGCGUUGUUCGGAAUUAUUGAGCGUAAAGCGCUUGUAGGCGGCACGUCAAGUCGCGUGUGAAAUCCCCAGGCUUAACCUGGGAAGUGCGCGCGAAACUGACGAGCUUGAGUGCCGGAGAGGGUCGCGGAAUUCCCGGUGUAGAGGUGAAAUUCGUAGAUAUCGGGAGGAACACCAGUGGCGAAGGCGGCGACCUGGACGGACACUGACGCUGAGACGCGAAAGCGUGGGGAGCAAACAGG
rnacentral:rRNA from 1 species